AGUGAACGCUGGCGGUAGGCCUAACACAUGCAAGUCGAACGGCAGCACAGUAAGAGCUUGCUCUUACGGGUGGCGAGUGGCGGACGGGUGAGGAAUACAUCGGAAUCUACUUUUUCGUGGAGGAUAACGUAGGGAAACUUCCGCUAAUACCGCAUACGAUCUACGGGUUAAAGCAGGAGAUCUUCGGACCUUGCGCGAUUGAAUGAGCCGAUGUCGGAUUAGCUAGUUGGCGAGGUAAAGGCCCACCAAGGCGACGAUCCGUAGCUGGUCUGAGAGGAUGAUCAGCCACACUGGAACUGAGACACGGUCCAGACUCCUACGGGAGGCAGCAGUGGGGAAUAUUGGACAAUGGGCGCAAGCCUGAUCCAGCCACACCGCGUGAGUGAAGAAGGCCUUCGGGUUGUAAAGCCCUUUUGUUGGGAAAGAAAAGCAGCAGGUUAAUACCCCGCUGUUCUGACGGUACCCAAAGAAUAAGCACCGGCUAACUUCGUG
rnacentral:rRNA from 1 species